rnacentral:pre_miRNA from 1 species
UCUUGUGGAUAAGCAAAGAAAGGGGUUUCUUGAGAUGUAAUCUGCUCUUGGUGAAGAUGCUGUGAA